GAGCCAUGGCGCAGCUACACAUGCAGUCGAGCGGUAACAGGAGGAAGCUUGCUUUCUUGCUGACGAGCGGCGGACGGGUGAGUAAUGUAUGGGGAUCUGCCCGAUAGAGGGGGAUAACUACUGGAAACGGUGGCUAAUACCGCAUGACGUCUACGGACCAAAGCAGGGGCUCUUCGGACCUUGCGCUAUCGGAUGAACCCAUAUGGGAUUAGCUAGUAGGUGAGGUAAAGGCUCACCUAGGCGACGAUCUCUAGCUGGUCUGAGAGGAUGAUCAGCCACACUGGGACUGAGACACGGCCCAGACUCCUACGGGAGGCAGCAGUGGGGAAUAUUGCACAAUGGGCGCAAGCCUGAUGCAGCCAUGCCGCGUGUAUGAAGAAGGCCUUAGGGUUGUAAAGUACUUUCAGCGGGGAGGAAGGUGAUAAAGUUAAUACCUUUAUCAAUUGACGUUACCCGCAGAAGAAGCACCGGCUAACUCCGUGCA
rnacentral:rRNA from 1 species